GGGAAGCCGGUGCGAAUCCGGCGCUGACCCGCAACCGUGAACGGCGCCCGCGAGCACGGAGGACCGUGCGGGCCCGUGAGCCGGAGCACC
rnacentral:ncRNA from 2 species